rnacentral:rRNA from 1 species
AGUGAACGCUGGCGGUAGGCCUAAUACAUGCAAGUCGAACGGCAGCACAGUAAGAGCUUGCUCUUACGGGUGGCGAGUGGCGGACGGGUGAGGAAUACAUCGGAAUCUACUUUUUCGUGGGGGAUAACGUAGGGAAACUUACGCUAAUACCGCAUACGACCUACGGGUGAAAGCAGGGGAUCUUCGGACCUUGCCCGAUUGAAUGAGCCGAUGUCGGAUUAGCUAGUUGGCGGGGUAAAGGCACACCAAGGCGACGAUCCGUAGCUGGGCUGAGAGGAUGAUCAGCCACACUGGAACUGAGACACGGUCCAGACUCCUACGGGAGGCAGCAGUGGGGAAUAUUGGACAAUGGGCGCAAGCCUGAUCCAGCCAUACCGCGUGAGUGAAGAAGGCCUUCGGGUUGUAAAGCCCUUUUGUUGGGAAAGAACAGCAGCAGGUUAAUACCCCGCUGUUCUGACGGUACCCAAAGAAUAAGCACCGGCUAACUUCGUG